AGUGAACAUGAAAGAAAUGUUUAACCAUGAAUUCCUACAGUCUUUAACUAUCAGUGCUCUUUUCAUUCAGCAGCCACAACUGCCAUUACUUCUGCCCACAAGGGAGAGAGCAGUGGUGAAGGCGCAUGGAAAGGCUAUCUCUGCCUGCAGUGUGAGGCUGCAGACUGAUCCGAUAACAUAACACCAUGGAUUCUGUAUCCACGAGGCUGCCCAAAACUGUUUGCAGAUUUGGUGCAGAGGAGCGGCAUGGACUCAUCUGGACUGGAUGAGUGCAGAAUGGUGCAGAGAAGAAAUAUGUGGGCAACCAGCAAAGCAGCAGCAGAACAAACUUUCUAGAUCUGUUCUCUUUUUUUUUCCUUGGAGGCCAGAUAUGGCACCUAGAGAGAAGACAAAUCCAGUAGACAACUGGUACACUUUGGAUAGUGCAAUGAAUUUGAUUAAUAAUGGACAUGACGUGUAGAUAUAAUGAAGUGAUAAUCUAUCUGCAUCUGUGGAAAUGAAAUAAAUGAGCCUGAAAAAUGUGAAGACAGAGCUAGAAGGAAGAGUAUAACUUUGCUUCUGGUUUAUUACAGUAAUCCUGAAUUGGCAAUGCAAUACAGCAAAACCUGAAAGAGACCUCAGGUCCUUUUCACUUGAUGUUAUCAUCAUCUGUUGAAGGAUGCAGCAUUAUCUCUUAGAUGCAACAUCACUUUCCCUUUCUGGGGACAGUGCAACAUAGGUUUCUCCUUCUGUUCUCCAUUCAGUGUACAUCACAACUAUUGUACUAUUGUUCACUUUUCUUAUUUUAAGAGACUGAAUGUGCACAUUUUUUUCCCACUAAUUGCCCAGCCACGAACUUCAGUUACUUACUCUGUGCCUACUGAAUAAAGAAAAUGAGGAGAAAACCAUACCAAAACUAUUGAGUUGAUUAUGCCAGUCACUGGAGCAGAUGUCAUGGCUCAGACAAAUAUUUUUAGUCAUAGACGCAAAGAGUUAGCAAUUAUGAGCCUUCAUGAAGAAGAGAAAAAUAAAGGACAGUAUGAAUUCAGGCACUGUUAUGAAGUCUUAUUAGAUGUAAAGAAAAAAUGUGAAGUAUUACAUUUAUGGUGUUGGAAAACAAUGACAUGACACCAGGUAUAUUGUCUUUUUUUUUAGAUUAUCUUUUUAAUCUUAACCUUAUCACUUCAAUUCUGAACUAAUUUUAACAUAACAUUCUUUUUUUUUGUUGAUCAGAAGUAUCUUGGCU